AGCACAGAAGACCAUAACUAACAGAGUAGCUUUCACUGCUUCUAAAAGGGGGGAAGGCACAAAUCAGAAAUAUGAGUCUCAUGUUAGUAAUGGUACAGACUAGGAUUUCACAUUGAAACUUCCCAGCCUGGAUCUUAAGACACAAGUUUGCUUAUUCUUUUCCCUACUUGGAUGCAUCCUCUGUCGUUUAAUAUAUAUUAAUGUGACGGAUUUUCACAUCUGCUGUGCCUAUGGCAAGGAAUCUACUGCCAACUUCACAGAAGCAGUACCUAUCACUUCUCAACAGCAGAUGGCAAUGUUGCACAAGUAAUGAGAAAACCACUUUUACUCCACAAGAGGGAUUUACAGGAGUGAAAGGGUGGAAAAAAAGGCUUUUGGAUUCACAGUAACUGGAACAUUAACGGAACAGCCUGAGACUUUAAUAGCAUAAACUACUCUUCUUUUACCUCCGUACUUUUUAUCCAGGUUAACACAAUAGUGUUCUUUGAUAUUUUCAAUAUUCUUUUUCUUCACUGCAAGUGAUGUGGCUCUAGAUCCAGUAAUUCUUGUCACUGCAAUUACAAAAGUCCUGUAACAGUCAGUAGGUUAAAAAGAGAUUAUAAAAAGUGUAAACUCACACCUACUUUCCUGGGGGAAGUGAGAAAGACUUCAAGUGAUUAUUUUCCUGUUUAUGAACAUGGUCAUUUUUAUCCACAUUUUUUGGGGUAGUGCUAAGAGAUCAAACCCAGGGCUUGGUGCAUGCUACACAACAGAGCUCUACCACUGAGUGACAGGCCCAGCCCCAGCUUUUCUCUUUUUACAUUGGUAUUGGCUAUUAGGCACCUCCAACUCCCACGAGUUAUUCUUGGCUUUGCUUUCACAUACACUUCCAAGUAUCUACUCUCUCCAUAGCCUUCCUAGAUGUCUAUUUUAUACCUCACAUGUCUUAAUUCUCUAGACAGAACACAUGAGGAUGGGAACGAAGUCAGUGACUGGCCAUGCAAAAAAGAAGCGGUGAUUUAUUUUUCCUCAGUAGAAGUUAUGUUACAAAUCCAAACAACUACAUAUCUGAUGGAGGACUUGUAUCUAGGAUAUAUAAGGAAUUCUCAAAAUUCAAUAGUAAAAACAACAAACGACCAAUUAGAAAAUGGAAAAAAGACACAUGUCACAGAAAAGGACAUACAGAUGGAAAACACACACACGAAAAAAAAAAAAAAAAAAAAAAAAAAAAAAAAAACCAU
rnacentral:lncRNA from 1 species